GACGAACGCGGGCGGCGUGCGUAAUACAUGCAAGUAGGACGCACAGUUUAUACCGUAGCUUGCUACACCAUAGACUGUGAGUUGCGAACGGGUGAGUAACGCGUAGGUAACCUACCUAUUAGAGGGGGAUAACUAUUGGAAACGAUAGCUAAUACCGCAUAACAGUAUGUAACACAUGUUAGAUGCUUGAAAGAUGCAAUUGCAUCGCUAGUAGAUGGACCUGCGUUGUAUUAGCUAGUAGGUAGGGUAAAGGCCUACCUAGGCAACGAUACAUAGCCGACCUGAGAGGGUGAUCGGCCACACUGGGACUGAGACACGGCCCAGACUCCUACGGGAGGCAGCAGUAGGGAAUCUUCGGCAAUGGGGGGAACCCUGACCGAGCAACGCCGCGUGAGUGAAGAAGGUUUUCGGAUCGUAAAGCUCUGUUGUUAAGGAAGAACGAGUGUGAGAAUGGAAAGUUCAUGCUGUGACGGUACUUAACCAGAAAGGGACGGCUAACUACGUGCCAGCAGCCGCGGUAAUACGUAGGUCCCGAGCGUUGUCCGGAUUUAUUGGGCGUAAAGCGAGCGCAGGCGGUUAGAAAAGUCUGAAGUGAAAGGCAGUGGCUCAACCAUUGUAGGCUUUGGAAACUGUUUAACUUGAGUGCAGAAGGGGAGAGUGGAAUUCCAUGUGUAGCGGUGAAAUGCGUAGAUAUAUGGAGGAACACCGGUGGCGAAAGCGGCUCUCUGGUCUGUAACUGACGCUGAGGCUCGAAAGCGUGGGGAGCGAACAGG
rnacentral:rRNA from 1 species